rnacentral:rRNA from 1 species
GACGAACGCUGGCGGCGUGCUUAACACAUGCAAGUCGAACGGAAAGGCCCCUUUGGGGGUACUCGAGUGGCGAACGGGUGAGUAACACGUGAGUAACCUGCCCUUGACUUCGGGAUAACUUCAGGAAACUGGGGCUAAUACCGGAUAGGAAUCCUUGCUGCCUGGUGGGGGUUGGAAAGCUUCGGCGGUUUUGGAUGGACUCGCGGCUUAUCAGCUUGUUGGUGGGGUAGUGGCUUACCAAGGCUUUGACGGGUAGCCGGCCUGAGAGGGCGACCGGCCACAUUGGGACUGAGAUACGGCCCAGACUCCUACGGGGGGCAGCAGUGGGGAAUAUUGCACAAUGGGCGGAAGCCUGAUGCAGCAACGCCGCGUGCGGGAUGACGGCCUUCGGGUUGUAAACCGCUUUCAGCAGGGGCGAAGCUUGUGGUGACGGUACCUGCAGAAGAAGCACCGGCUAACUACGUG